CUUGCUUCUCUGAUGUUAGCGGCGGACGGGUGAGUAACACGUGGAUAACCUACCUAUAAGACUGGGAUAACUUCGGGAAACCGGAGCUAAUACCGGAUAAUAUUUUGAACCGCAUGGUUCAAAAGUGAAAGACGGUCUUGCUGUCACUUAUAGAUGGAUCCGCGCUGCAUUAGCUAGUUGGUAAGGUAACGGCUUACCAAGGCAACGAUGCAUAGCCGACCUGAGAGGGUGAUCGGCCACACUGGAACUGAGACACGGUCCAGACUCCUACGGGAGGCAGCAGUAGGGAAUCUUCCGCAAUGGGCGAAAGCCUGACGGAGCAACGCCGCGUGAGUGAUGAAGGUCUUCGGAUCGUAAAACUCUGUUAUUAGGGAAGAACAUAUGUGUAAGUAACUGUGCACAUCUUGACGGUACCUAAUCAGAAAGCCACGGCUAACUACGUGCCAGCAGCCGCGGUAAUACGUAGGUGGCAAGCGUUAUCCGGAAUUAUUGGGCGUAAAGCGCGCGUAGGCGGUUUUUUAAGUCUGAUGUGAAAGCCCACGGCUCAACCGUGGAGGGUCAUUGGAAACUGGAAAACUUGAGUGCAGAAGAGGAAAGUGGAAUUCCAUGUGUAGCGGUGAAAUGCGCAGAGAUAUGGAGGAACACCAGUGGCGAAGGCGACUUUCUGGUCUGUAACUGACGCUGAUGUGCGAAAGCGUGGGGAUCAAACAGGAUUAGAUACCCUGGUAGUCCACGCCGUAAACGAUGAGUGCUAAGUGUUAGGGGGUUUCCGCCCCUUAGUGCUGCAGCUA
rnacentral:rRNA from 1 species